GAUCAUGAUCUAGGUCGGAUUCGAUCAGAAUCUAGGUCGGGAUCCGAUCAGGAUCUGGGUCGGCAUCUGGAUCCGAUCGAGAUCCAAAUCAGGAUCUGGAUCGGAUCCAGCUACAUCUCUCUAUUUUCAUAGAGAGAUGUAUGGUAGUGAUUUAAUACAUGUAUUGAUAUAACCUUAGACUCCUGUUCAAGGGUCGAUCAUAGGGUCUCCAAAAUGGACUCUGCGAAUGGCUCUUGAAUGCCUCGUUUGGGCAGUUAAAAAAUGCAUCAAUUUUUUAUUAUUAUCAUGAUGUUCUUUGUUCUAUUGUGAGAAA
rnacentral:lncRNA from 1 species